rnacentral:rRNA from 1 species
GACGAACGCUGGCGGCGUGCUUAACACAUGCAAGUCGUACGGUAAGGCCCUUUCGGGGGUACACGAGUGGCGAACGGGUGAGUAACACGUGAGUAACCUGCCCACAACUUUGGGAUAACGCUAGGAAACUGGUGCUAAUACUGGAUAUGUGCUCCUGCUGCAUGGUGGGGGUUGGAAAGCUCCGGCGGUUGUGGAUGGACUCGCGGCCUAUCAGCUUGUUGGUGGGGUAGUGGCCUACCAAGGCGGCGACGGGUAGCCGGCCUGAGAGGGUGACCGGCCACAUUGGGACGGAGAUACGGCCCAGACCCCUAAGGGAGGCAGCAGUGGGGAAUAUUGCACAAUGGGCGCAAGCCUGAUGCAGCAACGCCGCGUGCGGGAUGACGGCCUUCGGGUUGUAAACCGCUUUCAGCAGGGACGAAGCUUUUUGUGACGGUACCUGCAGAAGAAGCACCGGCUAACUACGUG